rnacentral:rRNA from 1 species
AUUGAACGCUGGCGGCAGGCCUAACACAUGCAAGUCGAACGAGUGGCGGACGGGUGAAUAAUGUCUGGGAAACUGCCUGAUGGAGGGGGAUAACUACUGGAAACGGUAGCUAAUACCGCAUACCAUCGGAUGUGCCCAGAUGGGAUUAGCUUGUUGGUGGGGUAACGGCUCACCAAGGCGACGAUCCCUAGCUGGUCUGAGAGGAUGACCAGCCACACUGGAAGUGAGACACGGUCCAGACUCCUAAUGGAGACAGCAGUGGGGAAUAGUGCGCAAUGGGCGCAAGCCUGAUGCAGCCAUGCCGCGUGUAUGAAGAAGGCCUUCGGGUUGUAAAGUACUGUCAGCGGGGAGGCGUUACCCGCAGAAGGAGCACCGGCUAACUCCGUGCCAGCAGCCGCGGUAAUUU